GACCUGAUGGUGUAAAGGUAACAUCCCUGUCGAUAAUGUACCAUGCAAGACAGAUUUGCGAGAAUCCCUCGUUCGAUUCGGGGUCGGGCCA